rnacentral:rRNA from 1 species
UGGGGAAUAUUGCGCAAUGGGCGAAAGCCUGACGCAGCGACGCCGCGUGAGGGACGACGGCCUUCGGGUUGUAAACCUCUUUCAGCAGGGAUGAAGCGAAAGUGACAGUACCUGCAGAAGAAGCACCGGCUAACUACGUGCCAGCAGCCGCGGUAAUACGUAGGGUGCAAGCGUUGUCCGGAAUUAUUGGGCGUAAAGAGCUCGUAGGCGGCUUGUCACGUCGGAUGUGAAAAUCCAGGGCUCAACCCUGGACCUGCAUUCGAUACGGGCAGGCUAGAAUUCGGUAGGGGAGUCUGGAAUUCCUGGUGUAGCGGUGAAAUGCGCAGAUAUCAGGAGGAACACCGGUGGCGAAGGCGGGACUCUGGGCCGAUAUUGACGCUGAGGAGCGAAAGCGUGGGGAGCGAACAGG